rnacentral:rRNA from 1 species
GGGCACCACCAGAUGUGGAGCUUGCGGCUUAAUUUGACUCAACACGGGAAAACUUACCCGGCCCGGACACUGGGAGGAUUGACAGAUUGAGAGCUCUUUCUUGAUUCAGUGGGUGGGUGGUGCAUGGCCGUUUCUUAGUUGGGUGGAGCGAUUUGGUCUGGGUAAUUCCGAUUAACGAACGAGACUCUAGCCCUACUAAAUAAGACCCGCCGACUUUUAAAACGGUCCGGCGGGGACUUUCUUAGAAGGGACAAGGGCGGGUGGAUUUCAACCCGCCACCGAAAACAGAGAGCAAAUAACAAGUCCUUGGAUGGCCCUUAAGAUGUGUCCCGGGGCCCGACCGCCGUGGCUACACCUGAAAGUGGUACCGCAUGCACAUGAGAGUUCCGCGUUCCCUAGGGGUGGGUAACCCCAAUGUGACCUUCUCGUUGAGUGGGAACGGGAUUGUAAAUAUUCUCCCUUGAACGAAGAAAUCCGUAACGCAGUCUAAGCUUGCGUGAUUACGCCCUGCCUCUGUAC